rnacentral:rRNA from 1 species
CGGAUUCCGUGACGCAGCUAACGCAUUAAGUACGGCCGCAAGGCUAAAACUCAAAGGAAUUGACGGGGACCCGCACAAGCGGCGGAGCAUGCGGAUUAAUUCGAUGCAACGCGAAGAACCUUACCAAGGCUUGACAUACACGAGAACACCCUGGAAACAGGGGACUCUUUGGACACUCGUGAACAGGUGGUGCAUGGUUGUCGUCAGCUCGUGUCGUGAGAUGUUGGGUUAAGUCCCGCAACGAGCGCAACCCUCGUUCUAUGUUGCCAGCACGUAAUGGUGGGAACUCAUGGGAUACUGCCGGGGUCAACUCGGAGGAAGGUGGGGAUGACGUCAAAUCAUCAUGCCCCUUAUGUCUUGGGCUUCACGCAUGCUACAAUGGCCGGUACAAAGGGCUGCAAUACCGUGAGGUGGAGCGAAUCCCAAAAAGCCGGUCCCAGUUCGGAUUGAGGUCUGCAACUCGACCUCAUGAAGUCGGAGUCGCUAGUAAUCGCAGAUCAGCAACGCUGCGGUGAAUACGUUCCCGGGUCUUGUACACACCGCCCGUCAAGUCAUGAAAGUCGGUAACACCUGAAGCCGGUGGCCUAACCCUUGUGGAGGGAGCCGUCGAAGGUGGGAUCGGUAAUUAGGACUAAGUCGUAA